UACAGAGGUCUCAAGCGUUGUUCGGAUUCAUUGGGCGUAAAGGGUGCGUAGGCGGCGCGGUAAGUCGGGUGUGAAAUCUCGGGGCUUAACUCCGAAACUGCAUUCGAUACUGCUGUGCUUGAGGACUGGAGAGGAGACUGGAAUUUACGGUGUAGCGGUGAAAUGCGUAGAUAUCGUAAGGAAGACCAGUGGCGAAGGCGGGUCUCUGGACAGUUCCUGACGCUGAGGCGCGAAGGCCAGGGGAGCAAACGGGG
rnacentral:rRNA from 1 species